rnacentral:rRNA from 1 species
GUGCCAGCCGCCGCGGGUAAUACGUAGGUGGCAAGCGUUGUCCGGAUUUAUUGGGCGUAAAGCGAGCGCAGGCGGUUUCUUAAGUCUGAUGUGAAAGCCUUCGGCUCAACCGAAGAAGUGCAUCGGAAACUGGGAAACUUGAGUGCAGAAGAGGACAGCGGAACUCCAUGUGUAGCGGUGAAAUGCGUAGAUAUAUGGAAGAACACCAGUGGCGAAGGCGGCUGUCUGGUCUGUAACUGACGCUGAGGCUCGAAAGCAUGGGUAGCAAACAGGAUUAGAUACCCUGGUAGUCCAUGCCGUAAACGAUGAGUGCUAGGUGUUGGAGGGUUUCCGCCCUUCAGUGCCGCAGCUAACGCAUUAAGCACUCCGCCUGGGGAGUACGACCGCAAGGUUGAAACUCAAAGGAAUUGACGGGGGCCCGCACAAGCGGUGGAGCAUGUGGUUUAGUUCGAAGCAACGCGAAGAACCUUACCAGGUCUUGACAUCCUUUGACCACUCUAGAGAUAGAGCUUUCCCUUCGGGGACAAAGUGACAGGUGGUGCAUGGUUGUCGUCAGCUCGUGUCGUGAGAUGUUGGGUUAAGUCCCGCAACGAGCGCAACCCUUAUUACUAGUUGCCAGCAUUUAGUUGGGCACUCUAGUGAGACUGCCGGUGACAAACCGGAGGAAGGUGGGGACGACGUCAAAUCAUCAUGCCCCUUAUGACCUGGGCUACACACGUGCUACAAUGGAUGGUACAACGAGUUGCGAGACCGCGAGGUUUAGCUAAUCUCUUAAAACCAUUCUCAGUUCGGAUUGUAGGCUGCAACUCGCCUACAUGAAGCCGGAAUCGCUAGUAAUCGCGGAUCAGCAUGCCGCGGUGAAUACGUUCCCGGGCCUUGUACACACCGCCCGU